rnacentral:rRNA from 1 species
UACGUAGGGGCCUAGCGUUGUCCGGAUUUAUUGGGCGUAAAGAGCGUGUAGGCGGCCAUACAGGUCAGCUGUGAAAACUCGAGGCUCAACCUCGAGACGUCGGUUGAAACCGUGUGGCUAGAGUCCGGAAGAGGAGAGUGGAAUUCCCGGUGUAGCGGUGAAAUGCGCAGAUAUCGGGAAGAACACCCGUGGCGAAAGCGGCUCUCUGGGACGGUACUGACGCUGAGACGCGAAAGCGUGGGGGAGCGAACAGG